UACAGAGGGUGCAAGCGUUAAUCGGAAUUACUGGGCGUAAAGCGCGCGUAGGUGGUUCGUUAAGUUGGAUGUGAAAUCCCCGGGCUCAACCUGGGAACUGCAUUCAAAACUGUCGAGCUAGAGUAUGGUAGAGGGUGGUGGAAUUUCCUGUGUAGCGGUGAAAUGCGUUGAUAUCGGAAGGAACACCUGUGGCGAAAGCGAUGCACUGGACCUCUUCUGACGCUGAGGCGCGAAAGCCAGGGUAGCGAACGGG
rnacentral:rRNA from 1 species